GAUGAAGAACGCAGCGAAAUGCGAUAAGUAGUGUGAAUUGCAGAAUUCAGUGAAUCAUCGAAUCUUUGAACGCACAUUGCGCCCCUUGGUAUUCCAUGGGGCAUGCCUGUUCGAGCGUCAUUUGUACCUUCAAGCUUUGCUUGGUGUUGGGUGUUUGUCUCGCCUUUGCGUGUAGACUCGCCUUAAAAUAAUUGGCAGCCGGCGUAUUGAUUUCGGAGCGCAGUACAUCUCGCGCUUUGCACUCAUAACGACAGCGUCCAAAAGUACAUUUUACACUCUUGACCUCGGAUCAGGUAGGGAUACCCGCUGAACUUAAGCAUGUCAAUAAGCGGAGGA
rnacentral:misc_RNA from 1 species